UGGGGAAUAUUGGACAAUGGGCGAAAGCCUGUUCCAGCCAUGCCGCGUGUGUGAAGAAGGUCUUCGGAUUGUAAAGCACUUUAAGUUGGGAGGAAGGGCAUUAACCUAAUACGUUAGUGUUUGACGUUACCGACAGAAUAAGCACCGGCUAACUCUGUGCCAGCAGCCGCGGUAAUACAGAGGGUGCAAGCGUUAAUCGGAAUUACUGGGCGUAAAGCGCGCGUAGGUGGUUUGUUAAGUUGGAUGUGAAAUCCCCGGGCUCAACCUGGGAACUGCAUUCAAAACUGACUGACUAGAGUAUGGUAGAGGGUGGUGGAAUUUCCUGUGUAGCGGUGAAAUGCGUAGAUAUAGGAAGGAACACCAGUGGCGAAGGCGACCACCUGGACUAAUACUGACACUGAGGUGCGAAAGCGUGGGGAGCAAACA
rnacentral:rRNA from 1 species